GACGAACGCUGGCGGCGUGCUUAACACAUGCAAGUCGAACGGAAAGGCCCUGCUUGUGUGGUGUGCUCGAGUGGCGAACGGGUGAGUAACACGUGAGUAACCUGCCCUUGACUUUGGGAUAACUUCAGGAAACUGGGGCUAAUACCGGAUAGGAGCUCCUGCUGCAUGGUGGGGGUUGGAAAGUUGCGGCGGGUGGGGAUGGACGCGCGGCUUAUCAGCUUGUUGGUGGGGUAGUGGCUUACCAAGGCUUUGACGGGUAGCCGGCCUGAGAGGGUGACCGGGGACAUUGGGACUGCGAUAGGGACCAGAGUCCUAUGGGAGGCAGUAGUGGGGAAUAUUGCCCAGUGGGCGGAAGUGUGAGGCAGCAGCGCCGGGGUUGGGAUGACGGCUUGCGGGUUGUGAAACGCUUUCGGUUGUUACGAAGCGUGAGUGACGGUAAUGGGUAAAGAAGCACCGGCUAACUACGUG
rnacentral:rRNA from 1 species